AAUCAACGCUGGCGGCGUGCCUCAGACAUGCAAGUCGAACGAUUAAAGCUCUCUUCGGAGAGUGUAUAGAGUGGCGCACGGGUGAGUAACACGUAAGUAAUCUACCCUCGAGUGGGGAAUAACAACCGGAAACGGUUGCCAAUACCGCAUAAUGCAGCGGCACCGCAAGGUGACAGUUGUUAAAGAUUUAUCGCUUGAGGAGGAGCUUGCGGCAGAUUAGCUAGUUGGUAGGGUAACGGCUUACCAAGGCUACGAUCUGUAACCGGUCUAAGAGGACGGUCGGUCACACUGACACUGAAUAACGGGUCAGACUCCUACGGGAGGCAGCAGUCGGGAAUUUUGGGCAAUGGGGGCAACCCUGAUCCAGCCAUGCCGCGUGUGUGAAGAAGGCCUCGGUGUAAG
rnacentral:rRNA from 1 species